rnacentral:rRNA from 1 species
UGACCUGCCCUUUAGUGGGGAAUAACAUCUCGAAAGAGAUGCUAAUACCGCAUAAGUUGUUCAUCGUUGGGUGAACAAGAAACGCUCUUCUUGAUCGGAGAGUGGCUAGAGGAGGGGUCUGCGGCGGAUUAGCUAGUUGGUGGGGUAACGGCCCACCAAGGCGACGAUCCGUAGCUGGUCUGAGAGGACGGCCAGCCACACUGGGACUGAGACACGGCCCAG